rnacentral:rRNA from 1 species
UGGAAGCAAAUAAGGGCGUAUGGGGGAUGCCUAGGCUCUCAGAGAUGACGAAGGACGUGUUAAGCUGCGAAAAGCCUUGGGGAAUUGCAAACGAGUGUUGAUCCAAG